UACGGAGGAUCCGAGCGUUAUCCGGAUUUAUUGGGUUUAAAGGGUGCGUAGGCGGCCUUGUAAGUCAGGGGUGAAAGACGGUAGCUUAACUAUCGCAGUGCCUUUGAUACUGCAGGGCUUGAAUGUACUUGAGGUAGGCGGAAUGUGACAAGUAGCGGUGAAAUGCAUAGAUAUGUCACAGAACACCAAUUGCGAAGGCAGCUUACUAUGGUAUGAUUGACGCUGAGGCACGAAAGCGUGGGGAUCAAACAGG
rnacentral:rRNA from 1 species